GAGUAAUGUCUGGGAAACUGCCUGAUGGAGGGGGAUAACUACUGGAAACGGUAGCUAAUACCGCAUAACGUCGCAAGACCAAAGAGGGGGACCUUCGGGCCUCUUGCCAUCGGAUGUGCCCAGAUGGGAUUAGCUUGUUGGUGGGGUAACGGCUCACCAAGGCGACGAUCCCUAGCUGGUCUGAGAGGAUGACCAGCCACACUGGAACUGAGACACGGUCCAGACUCCUACGGGAGGCAGCAGUGGGGAAUAUUGCACAAUGGGCGCAAGCCUGAUGCAGCCAUGCCGCGUGUAUGAAGAAGGCCUUCGGGUUGUAAAGUACUUUCAGCGGGGAGGAAGGGAGUAAAGUUAAUACCUUUGCUCAUUGACGUUACCCGCAGAAGAAGCACCGGCUAACUCCGUGCCAGCAGCCGCGGUAAUACGGAGGGUGCAAGCGUUAAUCGGAAUUACUGGGCGUAAAGCGCACGCAGGCGGUUUGUUAAGUCAGAUGUGAAAUCCCCGGGCUCAACCUGGGAACUGCAUCUGAUACUGGCAAGCUUGAGUCUCGUAGAGGGGGGUAGAAUUCCAGGUGUAGCGGUGAAAUGCGUAGAGAUCUGGAGGAAUACCGGUGGCGAAGGCGGCCCCCUGGACGAAGACUGACGCUCAGGUGCGAAAGCGUGGGGAGCAAACAGGAUUAGAUACCCUGGUAGUCCACGCCGUAAACGAUGUCGACUUGGAGGUUGUGCCCUUGAGGCGUGGCUUCCGGAGCUAACGCGUUAAGUCGACCGCCUGGGGAGUACGGCCGCAAGGUUAAAACUCAAAUGAAUUGACGGGGGCCCGCACAAGCGGUGGAGCAUGUGGUUUAAUUCGAUGCAACGCGAAGAACCUUACCUGGUCUUGACAUCCACAGAACUUUCCAGAGAUGGAUUGGUGCCUUCGGGAACUGUGAGACAGGUGCUGCAUGGCUGUCGUCAGCUCGUGUUGUGAAAUGUUGGGUUAAGUCCCGCAACGAGCGCAACCCUUAUCCUUUGUUGCCAGCGGUCCGGCCGGGAACUCAAAGGAGACUGCCAGUGAUAAACUGGAGGAAGGUGGGGAUGACGUCAAGUCAUCAUGGCCCUUACGACCAGGGCUACACACGUGCUACAAUGGCGCAUACAAAGAGAAGCGACCUCGCGAGAGCAAGCGGACCUCAUAAAGUGCGUCGUAGUCCGGAUUGGAGUCUGCAACUCGACUCCAUGAAGUCGGAAUCGCUAGUAAUCGUGGAUCAGAAUGCCACGGUGAAUACGUUCCCGGGCCUUGUACACACCGCCCGUCACACCAUGGGAGUGGGUUGCAAAAGAAGUAGGUAGCUUAACCUUCGGGAGGGCGCUUACCACUUUGUGAUUCAUGACUGGGGUGAAGUCGUAACAAGGUAACCGUAGGGGAACCUGCGGUUGGAUCACCUCCUUACCUUAAAGAAGC
rnacentral:rRNA from 1 species